rnacentral:misc_RNA from 1 species
GAUGAAGAACGUAGUGAAAUGCGAUAAGUAAUGUGAAUUGCAGAAUUCAGUGAAUCAUCGAAUCUUUGAACGCACAUUGCGCCCAUUAGUAUUCUAGUGGGCAUGCCUGUUCGAGCGUCAUUAAGUCCACUUAAGCCUAGCUUAGUGUUGGGAGACUGCUCCAGUGGUGCUACCCUGUAGCUACCCUGCAGCUCCUUAAAGACAGCGGCGGAGUCGUGUUAUCCUCUGAGCUUAGUAAAUCAUUCUAGCUUUCGAGAGUAUCACUUCACCUGCCGUUAAACCACCUAAUUUUUAUGGUUGACCUCGGAUCAGGUAGGAAUACCCGCUGAACUUAAGCAUAUCAAUAAGCGGAGGA